rnacentral:rRNA from 1 species
UACGGAAGGCAGCAGUGGGGAAUAUUGCACAAUGGGCGCAAGCCUGAUGCAGCCAUGCCGCGUGUAUGAAGAAGGCCUUCGGGUUGUAAAGUACUUUCAGUCGUGAGGAAGGUGUUAAGGUUAAUAACCUUAGCAAUUGACGUUAGCGACAGAAGAAGCACCGGCUAACUCCGUGCCAGCAGCCGCGGUAAUACGGAGGGUGCGAGCGUUAAUCGGAAUUACUGGGCGUAAAGGGCACGCAGGCGGUUAAUUAAGUUGGAUGUGAAAUCCCCGGGCUUAACCUGGGAAUGGCAUUCAAGACUGGUUAGCUAGAGUCUUGUAGAGGGGGUAGAAUUCCAUGUGUAGCGGUGAAAUGCGUAGAGAUGUGGAGGAAUACCGGUGGCGAAGGCGGCCCCUGGACAAAGACUGACGCUCAUGUGCGAAAGCGUGGGGAGCAAACAGGGAUUAGAUACU